GCAAGUCGAACGAGAUGAUUUAAUGCUUGCAUUAAAGAUUCUAGUGGCGAACGGGUGAGUAAUACAUAGGAAUCUGCCCAGUAGCGGGGGACAACUUGGGGAAACUCAAGCUAAUACCGCAUACGCCCUACGGGGGAAAGCAGGGGAUCUUCGGACCUUGCACUAUUGGAUGAGCCUAUGUCAGAUUAGCUUGUUGGUGGGGUAACGGCCUACCAAGGCGACGAUCUGUAGCUGGUCUGAGAGGACGAUC
rnacentral:rRNA from 1 species